UGGCGGACGGGUGAGUAACGCGUGGGGAACCUGCCUUGCACCGGGGGAUAACACUUAGAAAUAGGUGCUAAUACCGCAUAAGCGCACAGAGCCGCAUGGCUCAGUGUGAAAAACUCCGGUGGUGCAAGAUGGACCCGCGUCUGAUUAGCUGGUUGGCGGGGUAACGGCUCACCAAGGCGACGAUCAGUAGCCGGCCUGAGAGGGUGAACGGCCACAUUGGGACUGAGACACGGCCCAAACUCCUACGGAAGGCAGCAG
rnacentral:rRNA from 1 species